rnacentral:rRNA from 1 species
UCAGGAUGAACGCUAGCGGGAGGCUUAACACAUGCAAGUCGAGGGGCAGCACGAUGUAGCAAUACAUUGGUGGCGACCGGCGCACGGGUGAGUAACGCGUAUGCAACCUACCCUGUACAGGGGGAUAGCCCGGAGAAAUUCGGAUUAAUACCCCAUAAUGAUAUUGAGAGGCAUCUUUUAAUAUUUAAAGUUUCGACGGUACGGGAUGGGCAUGCGUGACAUUAGCUAGUUGGUAGGGUAACGGCCUACCAAGGCUGCGAUGUCUAGGGGUCCUGAGAGGGUGAUCCCCCACACUGGUACUGAGACACGGACCAGACUCCUACGGGAGGCAGCAGUGAGGAAUAUUGGUCAAUGGACGUAAGUCUGAACCAGCCAUCCCGCGUGCAGGAAGAAGGCGCUAUGCGUCGUAAACUGCUUUUCCAGGGGAAGAAAACCUGAUACGUGUAUCGGCUUGCCGGUACCCUGGGAAUAAGCAUCAGCUAACUCCGUGCCAGCAGCCGCGGUAAUACGGAGGAUGCGAGCGUUAUCCGGAUUUAUUGGGUUUAAAGGGUGCGUAGGCGGAUUAAUAAGUCAGUGGUGAAAACCUUCAGCUUAACUGGAGACUUGCCAUUGAUACUGUUAGUCUUGAGUACGGUCAAGGUAGGCGGAAUGUGUAAUGUAGCGGUGAAAUGCUUAGAUAUUACACAGAACACCGAUUGCGAAGGCAGCUUACUGGGCCAUUACUGACGCUGAUGCACGAAAGCGUGGGGAGCGAACAGGAUUAGAUACCCUGGUAGUCCACGCCGUAAACGAUGAUCACUCGCUGUUAGCGAUACACAGUUAGCGGCUAAGCAAAAGCAUUAAGUGAUCCACCUGGGGAGUACGGCCGCAAGGCUGAAACUC